rnacentral:misc_RNA from 1 species
UUUAUUAUAUACCAGACUGCUUUUUUUGUGUUUAUCUUUUUUAUUAAAGAAAAACAUAAAAAUUAAGCGCAUGUUGGGUAUUCCCAUAUUUUAAGUAAUAUGUGUUACCUUAAAUAAACCAACGGUGUAUUUUUUCAUUCUGUUUAAUAAUCACUUGUGAUUAUUACAAAAAUAUGUAAAAAACUUACCAGUUGCCGUGUCCUAGGAAUAUUAUGAAUAUUAAAUUAUUCUAUAUUUUAGACCGUCGACCUUAGGAAGAGAUAUUUACAUGUAUAAAAUAUUUUCACAAUAAAGUGAUACAUAAGCAGUUUGAUUGUUAUACAAGUACCCGUAUCAAAAAAAUAUUAUUAGUAUAUAUAAAAUCACUAUAAAUGGUCUAUACGUAUAUAAAGAUUGUCUAUAUCUGGGUGGUGUUGUUGUGGUACAUUAUAUGCUUAACUGCUCUUGUUUUUCUAAGUAAAAAUAUAUUAGUUAGAACAAGGCGAAGAGUUGAGAGUUUUUUGAGAAUAUAUAUGUAAAAAUAUAAUAUAUAUUACAAUACUUUUGGAGAAGUAUAUAUAUAAACACGACGCGACACUCGGUGUUACAUUCUUUUUUUAAUGUGUAUAGAGAUCUAAAAAAUAUUUUUGGUGUAAAAGUGAUGUACAUAACAUGCUGGUUCCUCUAAGUAAAAAUAUAUUAGUUGCAACUAAGCUAUGAAAGUUUUUUCCCAUAUAAUAUAUAAUGUUUCCGAUGCAUUAAUAUAUAUGAAAUACUUUUGGUUUAAGUGUUAUGUGCAUAAAUAGUUGUAUUAACAUGCUGGUUCUUCUCAAGUAAAAAUAUAUUGGUUGCAACUAAGCAUUGAAAGUUUAUUGUGUAAAAAUAGUUAAAUAUAUAUUUUUCCACCAUACACUUUUGGAGUAGUGUUAUACAAUCGUGAAUCUUAUGCCACGUAUCUCUUCAACUGCAAUAGCUAUACAACAACUGUGUGCGUUGCGGCUUUGCGGCUUUGGAAUUUCAAAAAUUUUAUAUAUGUAAAAAUAUAAUAUAUAAAUUAGUUUUUCUAAAAGAAGAAAAUACAAAAAAUAUUUUUUGCUUUGUUUUUGUGCGACUUUUAUAUAGAAAAUUCUAUUUUUUUAUCA